UACAGAGGUGGCAAGCGUUGUUCGGAAUUACUGGGCGUAAAGGGCGCGUAGGCGGCUUGGUCAGUCCCGUGUGAAAUCCCUCGGCUCAACUGAGGAACUGCACGGGAAACUGCCUGGCUUGAGUUCGGGAGAGGUGAGUGGAACUGCGAGUGUAGAGGUGAAAUUCGUAGAUAUUCGCAAGAACACCAGUGGCGAAGGCGGCUCACUGGCCCGAUACUGACGCUGAGGUGCGAAAGCGUGGGGAGCAAACAGG
rnacentral:rRNA from 1 species